UUUCUCACCUUUCGCCCGCUAUCCGAUCUCCCAAAGCCUCGGCCGCGUCCUCCUCCAUCCCUUGCGUCGAACCUGGCUCCGGCCGCCCGCUUUUAACCGCCUUUUGCCCUCCAUUUUCCACCAAAUGUUAACAAAGAAAAUCUCCGGCUACGUCAGCGCUCGCCCCGCGGGCGCCCGCCCAUUGGACGCCCCGCGGUCACGUGACGCGCCGCCGGCUUUCAAACACUUUUUUCUCGCUCGACGGCCACCGCUUUCCAGCCUUCCUUCCUCGAAAUGCAGCAUUGGCGCUUCGGUGCAUCGACUCCCAUGAUGGUGUGUAUGGAAUGAGCUGCCAAUGGAGGUGGUCGAGACAUGUACAAUUCAAAAAGCAUCUAGAUGGGUACAUGAAUAAGCAAGGCCAAAUGCAGGUCUUGGCUGAUGUCAUCAGUCUUCAGAAAUCUGACUCCAGUCAUGAACGUGCUGCGUAAUGAUUGAGCUUCUGAGGUCAGGAAAUUCAAAUAUUCAUCAUUCUCUGGAUGAAGAAAUUUCUUCUAAUUUCAAUCUGAAAUGGUCUCUCCCUUAUCCUGUUCAUAUCCACCCUUGUCCCCUGGUUCUUGACUCGCCAGCCAGGGGAAAUAACCUGUUCACAUCUACCCUGCCAUGCCCUGUACAAAAUUUGUAAGUUUCAAUAAGAUCACCUCUCAUUUACAGUCGUCGAGAUAUACAGGAUGGAAACAGACCCUUCGAUCCAACCCAUCCAUGCCGACCAGAUAUCCCAACACAAUACAGUCCCACCUGCCAGCACCCAGCCCAUAUCCCUCCAAACCCUUCCUAUUCAUAUACCCAUCCAGAUGCCUUUUAAAGGUUGCAGUUGGACCAGCCUCCACCACAUCCUCUGGCAGCUCAUUCCAUACACAUACCACCCUCUGUGUGAAAAAGUUGCCCCUCAGGUGUCUUUUAUAUUUUUCCCCCCUCACCCUAAACCUAUGCCCUCUAGUCCUGAACUCCCCCACUCCAGGAAAAAGACCUUGUCUAUUUACCCUAUCUACGCCCCUCAUGAUUUUUUAACCCUUUAUGAAGUCACCCUUCAGCCUCUGACCCUCCAGGAAAAACACCUCCAGCCUGUUCAGCCUCUUCCUAUAGCUCAAAUCCUCCAACCCUGGCAACGUCCUUGUUAAUCUUUUCUGAAUCCUUUCAAAUUUCACAACAUCCUUCUGAUAGGAGGCAGACCAGAAUUGCAUGCAAUAUUCCAAAAGUGACCUAACCAAUGUCCUGUACAGCCACAACAUGACCUCCCAACUCCUGUACUCAAUACUCUGACCAAUAAAAGAAAGCAUACCAAACGCCUUCUUCACUAUCCUAUCUACCUGCGACUCUACUUUCAAGGAGCUAUGAACCUGCACUCCAAGGUUUCUUUGUUCAGCAACACUCCCUAGGACCUUACCAUUAAGUGUAUAAGUCCUGCUCGGGUUUUGCUUUCCCAAAAUGCAGCACCUCGCAUCUAUCAGAAUUAAUCUCCAUCUACCACUUCUCAGCCAAUUGGCUUAUCUGAUCAAGAUCCUAUUGUAACCUGAUCAACCUCCUUCGCUGUCCACCUCCAAUUUUGGUGUCAUCUGCAAACUUAUUAACUAUACCGCUUGAGCUCAUAUCCAAAUCAUUUAUGUAAAUGACAAAAAGUAUUGGACCCAGCAUUGAUUCUUGUGGCACUCCACUGGUCACAGGCCUCCAGUCUGAAAAACAACCCUCCACCAUCACCCUGUCUUCUACCUUUGAGGCAGUUCUAUAUCCAAAUGGCUAGUUCUCCCUGUAUUCCAUGCGAUCUAACCUUGUUAACCAGUCUCCCAUGGUGAACCUUGUCGAAUGCCUUACUGAAGGCCACAUAGAUCACAUCUACUUCUCUGUCCUCAUCAAUCCUCUUUGUUAAUUCUUCAAAAAAUACGCAAUCAAGUUUGUGAGACAUGAUUUCCCAUGCACAAAGCCAUGUUGACUAUCCAUAAUCAGUCCUUACCUUCCCAAAUACAUGUACAUCCUUUCCCUCAGAAUUCCCUCCAACAACUUGCCCACCACCGACAUCAGGCUCACUGGUCUAUAGUUCCCUGGCUUGUCCUUACCACCUUUCUUAAAUAGUGGCACCACGUUUGCCAACCUCCAGUCUUCUAGCACCUCAUUCUGUGACUAUCGAUGAAUCAGAAACCUCAGCAAGGGGCCCAGCAAUCACUUCCCCAGCUUCCCAGAGUUCUCGGGUAUACCUGAUCAGGUCCUGGGGAUUUAGCCACUUUUAUGCGUUUCAAGACAUCCAGCACGUCCUCCUCUGUAAUAUGGACAUUUUUCAAGAUGUCACCAUCUAUUUCCCUUCAUUCUAUAUCUUCCAUGCCCUUUUCCACAGUAAACACUGAUGCAAAAUACUCAUUUUGUAUCUUCAAUAUUUCCUCAAAACGAUUUCACCAUCCAAGGUAUUUAUCUGGUAAACCUCUAUUGCAAUCCCUCUGUGGUUAUGUUAGGUAAGGACAUCAAAACAUACCAUGGCCAAUUACUUUCAGCACCUGCAUGCUAAUGUUUAGGGAGAACAAGGACACCUAGGUUCCUUUGAUCACCACCACUUCCCAACCUCCCACUGUUUAAGAAAAAAUCUCGAUGAAACCUUCUCAGGUUCUGAUUGACAUGGACUAUGAAUCAACACUUAUUGGCACUGGGAUGGUGAGGAGA